UAAUACAGAGGGUGCGAGCGUUAAUCGGAAUUACUGGGCGUAAAGGGUGCGUAGGUGGUUACGUAAGUUAGGUGUGAAAUUCCUGGGCUUAACCUGGGGACUGCGCCUGAUACUGUGUAGCUAGAGUCUUGUAGAGGAAAGUGGAAUUUCCGGUGUAGCGGUGAAAUGCGUAGAUAUCGGAAGGAACAUCAGUGGCGAAGGCGACUUUCUGGACAAAGACUGACACUGAGGCACGAAAGCAUGGGGAGCAAACAGGAUUAGAUACCCUGGUAGUCCAUGCUGUAAACGAUGAAGACUGGCUGUUGGGUACCCGAGGGUACUUAGUAGCGAAGCUAACGCGUUAAGUCUUCCGCCUGGGGAGUACGGCCGCAAGGUUA
rnacentral:rRNA from 1 species